rnacentral:lncRNA from 1 species
CUAUUAGUUAUUUUGAACAUCUGUACAGUUUUUAAAUUCCAAACCACAACUGUACUGUUGUAGCUUCCACAAAUUGUUGUUAUAUGUAAUGGUAAUGGAAUUUGGAGUAAUCAGAAUUUUGUGAUUGCUGAUUUCUCUGUCAAAGGUGUCGAGAAAUUAAGCAGUAGCAGCAGUAAUGAAGAGCUACAUUCUCAGCAGCAAGAGGAUGCUGGUCCCUCCACUUCCAGAGACGAGCAAAUGGAAGACGUUCAUGAACAAGCCUUCAACAGUCUUUUAAAUGCUACAUAGGUAUUGAAAUAAUACUAUUUCUUGUGUUUUGUUUAAUUAAUUAUAUUAUUGUGUUAUACACUGCUCAGGGUUGAGUGGGAUCAGGAUGAUGAUGACGAGGACCAAACAUGUACUUCAGAGAUGGAAACCCAGUCACUGUCUACAUCUGAAGAGGACGAAACGAAGGAGUUCGAUUCUGACUCGGAUGACAGUAAAGAUCUAGACUACGUUCCACCUAUUUGUCUGCGGGCUGGUGGCGCACUUAAAAAACGGAUUGAGAUCGACAAACUACCUGAGGUUUCAAUAGAGGAAACCGUACGGGAUCAACCAGACAGCAGUGAUAAACAAGAAGUCAUUGCUCCUCCAGUAACGGCUAUGGUCGUUACUGAAGAAGAUGUUUUGGACAAACCAGCAUCGAUAGUAUAUCACGAUGUCUUAAAACAGCUUCUUGAUUUCUUGAGCUUGCCAAUAGACAUUUGUAAAGCAAAGGAUUCUGUAACAAAAGAACCAUGCAAUGCUGCAGCACCUUUUGAAGUGUCUGUAAAACGCUGAUGCACAGCAGUUGAUGCAGAAUGGAUCUGUCCAAAUGGCCAUACAGUUUGGAGGUGGACCUCCCAGCGUUAUUUUAAAUAUGGGAUCCUUGCGGGAGAUUUCAUGCUGGGCUGCAAUAUCCUGCUGUCAGGAAACAACUACAGGAACAUAGCACUCAUGUUCAAAUUUAUGAACAUGGGGAUAAUGGAUCCAGCUACGUAUUACAAGAUUCAAGACGGAUUUUGUGUGGACAACAUCAAAGCGUUCUGGAAGAGUACUAAACAAGGGAUAAUCAAUUAGCUUAAAACAAAAGAAGUUCUGCUU